AUUGAACGCUGGCGGAAUGCUUUACACAUGCAAGUCGAACGGCAGCACGGACUUCGGUCUGGUGGCGAGUGGCGAACGGGUGAAUAAUGUAUCGGAACGUGCCCAGUCGUGGGGGAUAACGUAGUGAAAAUUACGCUAAUACCGCAUACGAUCUAUGGAUGAAAGCGGGGGAUCGCAAGACCUCGCGCGAUUGGAGCGGCCGAUAUCAGAUUAGGUAGUUGGUGGGGUAAAGGCCCACCAAGCCAACGAUCUGUAGCUGGUCUGAGAGGACGACCAGCCACACUGGAACUGAGACACGGUCCAGACUCCUACGGGAGGCAGCAGUGGGGAAUUUUGGACAAUGAGCGAAAGCCUGAUCCAGCCAUUCCGCGUGCAGGAUGAAGGCCCUCGGGUUGUAAACUGCUUUUGUACAGAACGAAAAGGUUUCUACUAAUACUAGGAGCUCAUGACGGUACUGUAAGAAUAAGCACCGGCUAACUACGUGCCAGCAGCCGCCGUAA
rnacentral:rRNA from 1 species